rnacentral:rRNA from 1 species
UACGUAGGGGGCAAGCGUUGUCCGGAUUUAUUGGGCGUAAAGAGCGUGUAGGCGGCCUUACAGGUCAGCUGUGAAAACUCGAGGCUCAACCUCGAGACGUCGGUUGAAACCGUAAGGCUAGAGUCCGGAAGAGGAGAGUGGAAUUCCCGGUGUAGCGGUGAAAUGCGCAGAUAUCGGGAAGAACACCCGUGGCGAAGGCGGCUCUCUGGGAUGGUACUGACGCUGAGACGCGAAAGCGUGGGGAGCGAACAGG